rnacentral:rRNA from 1 species
AUUGAACGCUGGCGGCAGGCCUAACACAUGCAAGUCGAGCGAGCGGCGGACGGGUGAGUAAUGUCUGGGGAUCUGCCCGAUAGAGGGGGAUAACUACUGGAACCGGUGGCUAAUACCGCAUACUAUCGCAUGAACCCAUAUGGGAUUAGCUAUGAGGUGGGGUAAAGGCUCACCUAGGCGACGAUCUCUAGCUGGUCUGAGAGGAUGAUCAGCCACACUGGUACUGAGACACGGCCCAUACUCCUACGGGAGGCAGCAGUGGGGAAUAUGGCACAAUGGGCGCAAGCCUGAUGCAGCCAUGCCGCGUGUAUGAAGAAGGCCUUAGGGUUGUAAAGGACUUUCAGCGAGGAGGCGUUACCCGCAGAAGAAGCACCGGCUAACUCCGUGCCAGCAGCCGCGGUAAUUC